rnacentral:rRNA from 1 species
CCUACGGGAGGCAGCAGUGGGGAAUCUUGCGCAAUGGGCGAAAGCCUGACGCAGCAACGCCGCGUGCGGGAAGAAGGCUUUCGGGCUGUAAACCGCUUUCAGCAGGAACGAAAAUGACGGUACCUGCAGAAGAAGGAGCGGCCAACUAUGUGCCAGCAGCCGCGGUGAUACAUAGGCUUCAAGCGUUGUCCGGAUUUAUUGGGCGUAAAGAGUUCGUAGGCGGUCGAGUAAGCCGGGUGUGAAAAUUCUGGGCUCAACCCAGAGACGCCACCCGAUACUGCUUGACUUGAGUUCGAUAGGGGAGUGGGGAAUUCCUAGUGUAGCGGUGAAAUGCGCAGAUAUUAGGAGGAACACCGGUGGCGAAGGCGCCACUCUGGAUCGAUACUGACGCUGAGGAACGAAAGCAUGGGUAGCAAACAGGAUUAGAUACCCUGGUAGUCCAUGCCGUAAACGGUGGGCACUAGGUGUGGGUUUCUAUUAACGAAAUCCGCGCCGUCGCUAACGCAUUAAGUGCCCCGCCUGGGGAGUACGGUCGCAAGACUAAAACUCAAAGGAAUUGACGG